UACGGGGGGGAGCAAGCGUUGUUCGGAUUUACUGGGCGUAAAGGGCGCGUAGGCGGCCACCGCAAGUCGACUGUGAAAUCUCCGGGCUUAACCCGGAAAGGUCAGCCGAUACUGCGGGGCUAGAGUGCAGAAGGGGCAACUGGAAUUCUCGGUGUAGCGGUGAAAUGCGUAGAUAUCAGGAGGAACACCGGUGGCGAAGGCGGGUCUCUGGGCCGAUACUGACGCUGAGGAGCGAAAGCGUGGGGAGCGAACAGG
rnacentral:rRNA from 1 species